GACAGAAUUGCCAGUGUUGAAGGUAACUCAACCUUAACAGCCUCCCUUUCUAUUCAAUUUAUUGACUUAUGCAGAAUGGUUGCAUACAAAGGACACUCUGUUUUAAAUUAAAAGUGUGAUACAUCUUCAGUGCAGCGUUGGAAGGAGCAGAACAUUUAUGCUAGUGUGAGGGAACAUGGAGGCUGAAGAGGUGUGUACGUGCUGGCUAACUCCUCUCGACCCUGCACACACACGCACACACACACAGAUUCACAAACUCUUAACCCUGCAGACACACAUAUUCCACCACCCUUCACCCUGCUGUAAAUUGAAGUGAGUCUGAGUUUUUAUGUCCAUUCAGGCGGUUCCGCCGAGCACAAGGGAAAGGUUUCGCCAUGAAGACAUGGAAACGUGUCAAAUAAAUUGGAGGGGCAAGAGAGAAACACGGCUAAGUAGGAGGAUGCAAAUUGUAAUAUAACACAAGACAUAAAGAGAAUGAAGAGCCCCACAAAUGCAUGCAUACUCCAAGGAAGCAGUAUGAGUAGGAUGACCAGUUAAAUUUGGAGAAGCACAGACAGGCAGCAUACAUCUCCAUACUGAUUAUGCAGCGUCUAUUGUCCCACGGCUUGGUAAUUAUUGCAAUGCACAGUGCUCUGCUCUUCAGAAACCAUUAUGAAGCUGGGAUAAGAAGUCUGACCUCUUUCUGUCUGCCAGACUUGUUGCUUCUUACAAAGGGAGGGGGCAGCGAGGGGAAGAGGGAGGACAGGAGAGUGACGGGGCGGGGGGGGUGGAUCUUAUGUAGCCUUCUAGUCACAGAAGAGGGAAGGUUGAAGGAAAAAGAUGAGAAAUGAUGCACAAUUAACUCUUGAUUGAAAUAAGGACAAAAGAUGAAAGAUGUUCAUAGUAGAGCGAUCGCAUCCUUAUUUAUUUCAAAGGGUCAUCCAGUUUAAUUAUUGCACACUGUAGCUUUUUUUGGAAAAAAGGGCUGGUUUUGGAAGUUCUUUUGUCCAAAUGUAGUUGUUUUUUAAGUCAAAAUCCAGUAGAUUUGCCUGUCCCCAAGGUGAGUGGUUGGAAUUAUUUUUGGGGGUUGGAGAUAGAAGAAGUUGUUCUUGAAUCUUGAUUUGACCCAACAUGAUCCGGCAUUGGAGAUUUGCAUUGAUAAAAUCGCAUGGAUGACAAUGAUUGUUGUCGUACAGCUCUGAAUCAGUGGAUCAGUGGGAAUGCGACUUGGUCUCUGGUCUCUUUUAGUGAUAUGAAUUGCUUUCGCUGCGGCAUUCAACAGCCAUUAGUUCCAUCGAACGGCACACGAGGAAUCCUUGCGAUUGAAUGAAGCUGUGAAGAUUGAACGCGUAAGUGUAAAUCCUUAGUGUAAUUCAAACAAUGACUAAGCAACUGAUCCCUUUAUACUGAGCAUUUAAGUAUUUCUUUAUCACUUAGCCGAGUCCACACCCUAAAACAAAAAGGCUUCAGUUGUAGUUAAUGGGAUCAUCCCACUAGUGCAUUAAUGUGCCAGUUUCAUCCCCAUCAUCUAAUAACUGUUGUUUUAUAGCAGCAGGGGGUGUGAGCAUUUAAAUGGGUUUAUUUGCUGUACAUGUAUGAUCAUUAUCUACUGUCGGCCCGUAUUACUAUUCUAUUUAAUACACCUCUGUAUGUUGAAAAUCAUUUCAGGAUUCUUUUUUCAGUAAUAUCAUAAAGCAGCACCUUAAAAUCAUCCGAGUCCCCACUUUUAUUUAAUCAAUUUCACUUGUUUGUAAUAUGUCGUUGCGUCGUUAUGCAGAUAAAAUGUGUCCCUAUCACGAGGAUAAGCACAAAAUAUCUGAUAGUUUUGUAUCUUUAAAAAAACAAUCUACGGAGGCCUCUCACGUACGCACCAAACACACAAACAGACAGACGCACCAUAAAACAGUCCAUUUAUACCAAUGUCACCACCACAUAUUGUUCUCUCCCCCGGCUAAUGCAGUGUGUGUGUCUGUGCGUGCGUGCGUGUGUGUGUGUGUGUGUGUGUGUGUGUGUGUGUAGUAGAGAGAUACGGGGGGGUGUAAUUGUAUUGUUGGUAAUGGAUGUGGAGGGCUUACAAUUGGGUGUUAUUAGGACUACAAGGCUUUGCUACAUACUUUACAUGGACACAAUGGAGGGAAAGAUGGAGCAGUGACAGUUUGGGGGGUCAAAGUCUAGAGACAUUUUAAAAUCUGGGCCGGAUUUUUUUCCUUUUUUUUUUCAAGAAGGAAACUCCCACCAUCAAAUUAGAAAAUUAGAAAAAAAUAUAUAAUCAAAAGAGAAACUUUAGACUCCCGGCUGAGAAACAGUCCUGUUAUAGUGAAUUAUUAAGAUUUAAAUUUAGAUAAAAUAUAGUAUGAAUAUAAUGCCUUAAAAAGGUGGGAGGCUAAUAGUGAAUAGUUAACGUCAGGUGGAUUAAGAUAAUGACAUAUGAUAUAUAUAUUUUCUUAUUUUACAUUUACUAAAAAUUCGAUAAAAGACAUAAAUGCAGAGGGACUUAAGUUGGAGAAAAUAGGAAAGACAGAGUGACGAGAGGGAAGCAAUCAAAGUGUAGGAGGACGACCUGGAGAUGCUUAGAACACAAGAGAGGGAAACUUAGAACACAAGAGAGGGAAACUUAGAACACAAGAGAGGGAAAUUUAGAACACAAGAGAGGGAAACUUAGAACACAAGAGAGGGAAAUUUAAAACGCAGGAGAGGGAAACUUAGAACACAAGAGAGGGAAACUUAGAACACAAGAGAGGGAAAUUUAAAACGCAGGAGAGGGAAACUUAGAACACAAGAGAGGGAAACAGCAACAGACAAGAGGAAUACGUGAACACAGGCCAGAAGGUGACGGAGGUAUGAAGAGAAUAUUACGAUGAAAAAGAUUAGAAUAAAACGGCAAGGCGCACAGUUACAAUAGCUCUUCAGCUCAGGUCACUCCUUUGGAACACAUGAAUGGUAAUUGAUUGGCCUAAGAACAGCACAUAAUGCCCAGUGGCUCCUUCACCACCCAUUGCGCCCGUACGUAGGUGUGAGCUUUCUGUCUGUUGCCUUAGCGGAGUGAAUGCCAGUUGAUUGACAGGCAGAUAUUACGCCGUCGUGGUCAACGUGAAUAAAAGACACGAGGCGAGGAAACAUUAAACAGCCAUUAAUGCAGGAGACAAAGACACAUACACGCUCAGGCGGACACACACACACACACACACACACACAUAAGGCCAGAGGUGACCAGGGCAUCUUUUCCAGAAACUGGCAAAGGAUAAUAGCAAGCACUGAAUGAAGGGUGAACCAAAGGAUGGACCCUGGGAUUAAUACACAAGACCUACACAAACAACUUUGAACAAAGGAAUGCGCGUGCGGGGGUUGGCGGUUCACAGGUCGGUGUACGGCUGUAAUAAGAUGCAGAUGUCGGUCAAAGGACGUUGAAGUGAUGGUUCGGCGUCUCCUCACUGAUUGCAGGUGGCGCGAGAAGCUCUGCCUCCUCCUUUGUUGGAGUUUUAUUUAGCUUAGAGUUUUCCACGGACGCGGUGUGACUGUAAUUGUAUAGCAGGCUCGUCCUGGCUCGCUUUCAUUAUUGUUACUGUUUAAUAUGUCUUGAGGCGGUCGCCUGUCACCGCACACUGAUGGCACCAGCCAAAUGAAUGAUGCAUGCUGGGAGCGGUGACCA
ensembl:lncRNA